rnacentral:rRNA from 1 species
CUAGCGAGACAACCCCGGGAACUGGGGCUAACUCUUGAUAGGUGAAGAACUCUGGAAUGAGUCUUUGCCUAAAAAGAUUCACGUUAUCCUCGUGAACCUGCCUAAGGAUGAGGCCGCGACCGAUCAGGUUGUUGGCGAGGUAAUGGCUCACCAAGCCUUUUACCGGUGCGGGCCGUGGGAGCGGGAGCCCGGAGAUGGGUACUGAGACAAGGACCCAGGCCCUACGGGGCGCAGCAGUCGCGAAACCUUUGCAAUACACGAAAGUGUGACAGGGCUAUCCCGAGUGCCAUCCGCUGAGGAAGGCUUUUACCCAGUCUAGAACGCUGGGGGAAUAAGGAGAGGGCAAGUCUGGUGUCAGCCGCCGCGGUAAUACCAGCUCUCCGAGUGGUGUGGAUGUUUAUUGGGCCUAAAGCAUCCGUAGCUGGCUAGGUAAGUCCCUUGUUAAAUCCACCGAAUUAAUCGUUGGAUCGCGGGGGAUACUGCUUGGCUAGGGGACGAGAGAGGCAGACGGUAUUUUCGGGGUAGGGGGUGAAAUCCUAUAAUCCCGGGAAGACCACCAGUGGCGAAGGCUGUCUGCUAGAACGCGCCCGACGGUGAGGGAUGAAAGCUGGGGGAGCGAACCGGAUUAGAUACCCGGGUAGUCCCAGCUGUAAACGAUGCAGACUAGGUGUUUGGACGGCCACGUGCCGUUCUAGUGCCGCAGGGAAGCUGUUAAGUCUGCCGCCUGGGGAGUACGAUCGCAAGAUUGAAACUUAAAGGAAUUGGCGGGGGAGCAC